UACGUAGGUGGCAAGCGUUGUCCGGAUUUACUGGGCGUAAAGAGCGCGCAGGCGGUCGUUCAAGUCGCGUGUGAAAGCCCCGGCUCAACUGGGAGGGUCACGCGAUACUGAUCGACUCGAAGGCAGGAGAGGGUAGUGGAAUUCCCGGUGUAGUGGUGAAAUGCGUAGAUAUCGGAGGAACACCAGUGGCGAAGGCGACUACCUGGCCUGUUCUGACGCUGAGGCUGGCGUAAAGCUGAAGGGCAACGGG
rnacentral:rRNA from 1 species